AUAACGGAGCUGGCGGGAGGGUGGUUCUGUCUAGGGACAACCCACUCGCGAGACCAAACCUAGGCUAAGCCUGUAGACACUGGGCCGACACACGCCCGGACGGGGGUUCGACUCCCCCCACCUCCAUUU
rnacentral:tmRNA from 1 species